rnacentral:rRNA from 1 species
AACGAACGCUGGCGGCAUGCCUAACACAUGCCAGUCGAACGAGACCUUCGGGUCUAGUGGCGCACGGGUGCGUAACGCGUGGGAACCUGCCUUUAGGUUCGGAAUAACUCAGAGAAAUUUGAGCUAAUACCGGAUGAUGUCUUCGGACCAAAGAUUUAUCGCCUUUAGAUGGGCCCGCGUUGGAUUAGCUAGUUGGUGGGGUAAAGGCCUACCAAGGCGACGAUCCAUAGCUGGUCUGAGAGGAUGAUCAGCCACACUGGGACUGAGACACGGCCCAGACUCCUACGGGAGGCAGCAGUGGGGAAUAUUGGACAAUGGGCGAAAGCCUGAUCCAGCAAUGCCGCGUGAGUGAUGAAGGCCUUAGGGUUGUAAAGCUCUUUUACCCGAGAUGAUAAUGACAGUAGCGGGAGAAUAAGCUCCGGCUAACUCCGUG